rnacentral:rRNA from 1 species
GACGAACCGCCCGAACGUUGUUCGGAAUCACUGGGCUUAAAGGGAGCGUAGGCGGGCUGCCAAGUCCGGGGUGAAAUCCUCCAGCUUAACUGGAGAACUGCCUCGGAUACUGGAAGUCUCGAGGAGGGUAGGGGCAAGUGGAACCGUGGGUGGAGCGGUGAAAUGCGUUGAUAUCCAUGGGAACUCCGGUGGCGAAGGCGACUUGCUGGACCCCUUCUGACGCUGAGGCUCGAAAGCCAGGGGAGCAAACGGG